GAGGGGCAGCGCGGGGGUAGCAAUACUCCUGGCGGCGACCGGCGCACUGGUGAGUAACACGUAUGCGACCUGCCCCGGACAGGGGGAUAAACCCGGGAAACUGGGCCUAAUACCCCAUAGGCCUUCCGACCGCAUGGUCGGUAGGUGAAAGAUCCGUCGGUCCGGGAUGGGCAUGCGGCGCAUUAGCUGGUUGGCGGGGCAACGGCCCACCAAGGCGACGAUGCGUAGGGGUUCUGAGAGGAAGGUCCCCCACACUGGUACUGAGACACGGACCAGACUCCUACGGGAGGCAGCAGUGAGGAAUAUUGGUCAAUGGACGCGAGUCUGAACCAGCCAAGUCGCGUGCGGGAUGAAGGCCCUCCGGGUCGUAAACCGCUUUAGCCGGGGAGUAACGUGGGGCACGUGUGCCCCAGUGAGAGUACCCGGAGAAUAAGCAUCGGCUAACUCCGUGCCAGCAGCCGCGGUAAUACGGAGGAUGCGAGCGUUAUCCGGAUUUAUUGGGUUUAAAGGGCGCGUAGGCGGCCCGGUAAGUCUGAAGUGAAAGUCCUGCUUUUAAGGUGGGAAUUGCUUUGGAUACUGUCGGGCUUGAGUGCAGGAGAGGUAAGUGGAAUUCCCAGUGUAGCGGUGAAAUGCGUAGAGAUUGGGAGGAACACCAGUGGCGAAGGCGACUUACUGGACUGUAACUGACGCUGAGGCGCGAAAGUGUGGGGAGCAAACAGGAUUAGAUACCCUGGUAGUCCACACUGUAAACGAUGAAUGCUAGGUGUAGGGGGUAUCGACCCCUUCUGUGCCGCAGUUAACACAAUAAGCAUUCCGCCUGGGGAGUACGGCCGCAAGGUUGAAACUCAAAGGAAUUGACGGGGGCCCGCACAAGCAGCGGAGCAUGUGGUUUAAUUCGACGCAACGCGAAGAACCUUACCAGGUCUUGACAUCCAGUAAAACUUGCAGAGAUGCAUCGUGAGCUUGCUCAUACUGAGACAGGUGGUGCAUGGUUGUCGUCAGCUCGUGCCGUGAGGUGUCGGCUCAAGUGCCAUAACGAGCGCAACCCUUGCCGUCAGUUACCAUCAGGUUAAGCUGGGGACUCUGGCGGGACUGCCACCGCAAGGUGUGAGGAAGGGGGGGAUGACGUCAAAUCAGCACGGCCCUUACGUCCGGGGCGACACACGUGUUACAAUGGCGGCCACAGAGGGGCACUACCUGGCGACAGGAUGGGAAUCUCGAAAAGCCGUCUCAGUCCGGAUCGGAGUCUGCAACCCGACUCCGUGAAGCUGGAUUCGCUAGUAAUCGCGCAUCAGCCAUGGCGCGGUGAAUACGUUCCCGG
rnacentral:rRNA from 1 species